UACGUAGGGACCAAGCGUUGUCCGGAAUCAUUGGGCGUAAAGCGCGCGUAGGUGGCCAUUUAAGUCCGCUGUGAAAGUCAGAGGCUCAACCUUUGAAUGCCGCUGGAAACUGUCUGGCUUGAGUCCGGAAGGGGCGAGUGGAAUUCCUGGUGUAGCGGUGAAAUGCGCAGAUAUCAGGAGGAACACCAAUGGCGAAGGCAGCUCGCUGGAACGGUACUGACGCUGAGGCACGAAAGCGUGGGGAGCGAACAGG
rnacentral:rRNA from 1 species